AGCUGAAACUUAAAGGAAUUGACGGAAGGGCACCACCAGGAGUGGAGCCUGCGGCUUAAUUUGACUCAACACGGGAAAUCUCACCAGGCCCGGACACCGGAAGGAUUGACAGAUUGAGAGCUCUUUCUUGAUUCGGUGGGUGGUGGUGCAUGGCCGUUCUUAGUUGGUGGAGCGAUUUGUCUGGUUAAUUCCGAUAACGAACGAGACUCUGGCCUACUAAAUAGAUAGCGUAUCCCUUUGUGGGUACGCCACUGCUUCUUAGAGGGACGGGCGGCUUUUAGCCGCACGAGAAUGAGCAAUAACAGGUCUGUGAUGCCCUUAGAUGUUCUGGGCUGCACGCGCGCUACACUGAAGGAAUCAGCGUGUGUUCCCUACCCGAAAGGGUUGGGAAACCCGUUGAACCUCCUUCGUGAUGGGGAUUGGGGAUUGCAAUUAUUCCCCAUGAACGAGGAAUUCCCAGUAGGCGCGAGUCAUAAGCUUGCGUCGAUUACGUCCCUGCCCUUUGUACACACCGCCCGUCGCUACUACCGAUCGAGUGAUUUAGUGAGGACUUCGGACUGGUCUUCGUGGUGGCUCUCGAGUCAUGACGGAGUUCCGGAAAGAUGCCCAAACUUGAUCACUUAGAGGAAGUAAAAGUCGUAACAAGGUUUCCGUAGGUGAACUGC
rnacentral:rRNA from 1 species